rnacentral:rRNA from 1 species
GAUGAACGCUGGCGGCGUGCCUAAUACAUGCAAGUCGAGCGAACAGAUGAGGAGCUUGCUCCUCUGACGUUAGCGGCGGACGGGUGAGUAACACGUGGAUAACCUACCUAUAAGACUGGGAUAACUUCGGGAAACCGGAGCUAAUACCGGAUAAUAUAUUGAACCGCAUGGUUCAAUAGUGAAAGACGGUUUUGCUGUCACUUAUAGAUGGAUCCGCGCCGCAUUAGCUAGUUGGUAAGGUAACGGCUUACCAAGGCAACGAUGCGUAGCCGACCUGAGAGGGUGAUCGGCCACACUGGAACGGAGACACGGUCCAGACUCCUACGGGAGGCAGCAAUAGGGAAUCUUCCGCAAUGGGCGAAAGCUUGACGGAGCAACGCCGCGUGAGUGAUGAAGGUCUUCGGAUCGUAAAACUCUGUUAUUAGGGAAGAACAAAUGUGUAAGUAACUAUGCACGUCUUGACGGUACCUAAUCAGAAAGCCACGGCUAACUACGUG